rnacentral:rRNA from 1 species
CGGGACACGUGGUAUCCUGUCUGAAUAUGGGGGGACCAUCCUCCAAGGCUAAAUACUCCUGACUGACCGAUAGUGAACCAGUACCGUGAGGGAAAGGCGAAAAGAACCCCGGCGAGGGGAGUGAAAAAGAACCUGAAACCGUGUACGUACAAGCAGUGGGAGCCUCUUAAUGGGGUGACUGCGUACCUUUUGUAUAAUGGGUCAGCGACUUAUAUUCUGUAGCAAGGUUAACCGAAUAGGGGAGCCGAAGGGAAACCGAGUCUUAACUGGGCGUUAAGUUGCAGGGUAUAGACCCGAAACCCGGUGAUCUAGCCAUGGGCAGGUUGAAGGUUGGGUAACACUAACUGGAGGACCGAACCGACUAAUGUUGAAAAAUUAGCGGAUGACUUGUGGCUGGGGGUGAAAGGCCAAUCAAACCGGGAGAUAGCUGGUUCUCCCCGAAAGCUAUUUAGGUAGCGCCUCGUGAAUUCAUCUCCGGGGGUAGAGCACUGUUUCGGCAAGGGGGUCAUCCCGACUUACCAACCCGAUGCAAACUGCGAAUACCGGAGAAUGUUAUCACGGGAGACACACGGCGGGUGCUAACGUCCGUCGUGAAGAGGGAAACAACCCAGACCGCCAGCUAAGGUCCCAAAGUCAUGGUUAAGUGGGAAACGAUGUGGGAAGGCCCAGACAGCCAGGAUGUUGGCUUAGAAGCAGCCAUCAUUUAAAGAAAGCGUAAUAGCUCACUGGUCGAGUCGGCCUGCGCGGAAGAUGUAACGGGGCUAAACCAUGCACCGAAGCUGCGGCAGCGACGUUUAUGCGUUGUUGGGUAGGGGAGCGUUCUGUAAGCCUGCGAAGGUGUACUGUGAGGUAUGCUGGAGGUAUCAGAAGUGCGAAUGC